AAACGGUAGCUAAUACCGCAUAACGUCGCAAGACCAAAGAGGGGGACCUUCGGGCCUCUUGCCAUCGGAUGUGCCCAGAUGGGAUUAGCUUGUUGGUGGGGUAACGGCUCACCAAGGCGACGAUCCCUAGCUGGUCUGAGAGGAUGACCAGCCACACUGGAACUGAGACACGGUCCAGACUCCUACGGGAGGCAGCAGUGGGGA
rnacentral:rRNA from 1 species